rnacentral:lncRNA from 1 species
AACAGUUUGUGUGGUCACCCUGUGUAGCUUUUCACAACAGUUUGUGUGGUCACCCUGUGUAGCUUUUCACAACAGUUUGUGUGGUCACCCUGUGUAGCUUUUCACAACAGUUUGUGUGGUUACCCUGUGUAGCUUUUCACAACAGUUUGUGUGGUCACCCUGUGUAGCUUUUCACAACAGUUUGUGUGGUCACAUGGUGUAGCUUUUCACAACAGUUUGUGUUGUCACACUGUGUAGCUUUUCACAACAGUUUGUGUGGUCACACUGUGUAGCUUUUCAACAGUUUGUGUGGUCACCCUGUGUAGCUUUUUACAACAGUUUGUGUGGUCACACUGUGUAGCUUUUUAACAGUUUGUGUGGUCACACAGUGUAGCUUUUCACAACAGUUUGUGUGGUCACACUGUGUAGCUUUUCAACAGUUUGUGUAGACACACUGUGUAGCUUUUCACAACAGUUUGUGUGGACACACUGUGUAGCUUUUCACAACAGUUUGUGUGGUCACACUGUGUAGCUUU